rfam:Triticum aestivum genome assembly, contig: Triticum_aestivum_CS42_TGACv1_scaffold_544631_6DS
UACAUACUUCCUCCGUCCGAAAAAGCUUGUUUCUCAAUGGAUGUAUGUAGCAUCAAGUUGAUGCUAGAUACAUUUAUUUGAAGGACAAGUUUGGGACAAGGUUUUUCGGACGGAGGGAGUAUAAG